rnacentral:rRNA from 1 species
CCUACGGGAGGCAGCAGUGAGGAAUAUUGGUCAAUGGGCGUAAGCCUGAACCAGCCAAGUCGCGUGAGGGAUGAAGGUUCUAUGGAUUGUAAACCUCUUUUAUAAGGGAAUAAAGUGUGGGACGUGUCCUAUUUUGUAUGUACCUUAUGAAUAAGGAUCGGCUAACUCCGUGCCAGCAGCCGCGGUAAUACGGAGGAUCCGAGCGUUAUCCGGAUUUAUUGGGUUUAAAGGGAGCGUAGGCGGCUUGUUAAGUCAGCUGUGAAAGUCUGUGGCUCAACCAUAAAAUUGCCGUUGAAACUGGGAGUCUUGAGUAUGUUAGAGGCAGGCGGAAUGCGUGGUGUAGCGGUGAAAUGCUUAGAUAUCACGCAGAACCCCGAUUGCGAAGGCAGUCUACCAAGCCAUGACUGACGCUGAUGCACGAAAGCGUGGGGAUCAAACAGGAUUAGAUACCCUAGUAGUC